GCGGAUGUGGCGGAAUUGGUAGACGCGCUAGCUUCAGGUGCUAGUGUUCGCAAGAACGUGAAGGUUCAAGUCCUUUCAUCCGCACCA
rnacentral:tRNA from 1 species